GAAGGUGUAGCUCGGUGGUAGAGCACAUGCUUAGCAUGCACGAGGCCCUAGGUUCAAUCCCCAGUACCUCCC
rnacentral:tRNA from 1 species